AACGAACGCUGGCGGCAGGCCUAACACAUGCAAGUCGAGCGAAGCCUUCGGGCUUAGCGGCGGACGGGUGAGUAACGCGUGGGAACGUGCCCUUUGGUACGGAAUAGCCCCGGGAAACUGGGAGUAAUACCGUAUGUGGUCGAGAGACGAAAGAUUUAUCGCCAAAGGAUCGGCCCGCGUUGGAUUAGGUAGUUGGUGGGGUAAUGGCCUACCAAGCCGACGAUCCAUGGCUGGUUUGACAGGAUGAUCAGCCACACUGGGAAUGAGACACGGCCCAGACUCCUACGGGAGGCGGCAGUGGGGAAUCUUAGACAAUGGGGGAAACCCUGAUCUAGCCAUGCCGGGUGAUCGAUGAAGGCCUUAGGGUUGUAAAGAUCUUUCAGUGGGGAAGAUAAUGACUGUACCCACAGAAGAAGCCCCGGCUAACUCCGUGCCAGCAGCCGCCGCCGUAA
rnacentral:rRNA from 1 species